UAAGGACUGUCUCAAGGAAGCAAGUAAAGUUACUCAGAGAGGUGGUCCAUGAUUAUGCUGAGAUGAAUGCAAGACCAGUUCAACCACUCAACCGUCGUGAGGUCCACUUAUAUUGUCAAACGUUAAGAAGAACAAAAAACUAAGUACUACAAGAUCAGAGAGUAUUCGGAAGAUGAUUUACAAUGUUGAAGCUAGUUAAGUGUAGUACAAUGCAUCUAUAUGCAUUUUAUAAAUAAAAAUACCAUCAGCUUUA